UCUCCAAGUCAAAUGGUUUGUUUAAGCGAGCCAUCAUGCAGUCAGGAACGGCUCUGUGCUCUUGGCAAUUCGGGAGGACCAUAGGUACAUAGCGGGUCAGAUCGGUAGCUUCUUAGACUGUCCUGGAACGACAGAGAAUCCGAAUUCUGCAGACCUUGUUGACUGCCUGAAGAAGAUCCCUGUUGAUCAACUGUCUGCUGCAUUGCUCAAACUGCCAAGCCCUUAUGUGAUGAGUCCUCGCGUGGAUGGUGAGUUUCUCCAGA